rnacentral:rRNA from 5 species
CCUGGUGGCUAUAGCGAGCGGGAACCACCUGACCCCAUAUCGAACUCAGAAGUGAAAACGCUCAGCGCCGAUGAUAGUGUGAAGUUCAUGCGAAAGUAGGACACUGCCAGGA